ensembl:ncRNA K11G9.7 ncRNA
UACCUAAAAGAUAAUCAAUCAGUCUAGAUGUUGUGCCCAUGCAGCAGGCAGACCAUCUGUACGUGCCCUUGGCAAACAGCCGUAUCAUUUCGAUUUGCAUAUACUGUACUACUUGCAUCUGUCGUUGGGUCUGUCGUCACAAAAAUAACAAAUCGAUGGGUCCUGGUACCCAUCAUCGUUCAUCUUCCGCCUCCUCACGGAAAUCGACACCUGU